rnacentral:rRNA from 1 species
UUGUCCGGAAUUAUUGGGCGUAAAGAGCUCGUAGGCGGCUUGUCACGUCGGGUGUGAAAGCCCGGGGCUUAACCCCGGGUCUGCAUUCGAUACGGGCUGGCUAGAGUGUGGUAGGGGAGACUGGAAUUCCUGGUGUAGCGGUGAAAUGCGCAGAUAUCAGGAGGAACACCGGUGGCGAAGGCGGGUCUCUGGGCCGGUACCGACGCUGAGGAGCGAAAGCGUGGGGAGCGAACAGG